UACGUAGGGUGCAAGCGUUGUCCGGAAUUAUUGGGCGUAAAGAGCUCGUAGGCGGUUUGUCGCGUCGGCUGUGAAAACUCGGGGCUCAACCCCGAGCCUGCAGUCGAUACGGGCAAACUUGAGUGCGGUAGGGGAGACUGGAAUUCCUGGUGUAGCGGUGAAAUGCGUAGAUAUCAAGAGGAACACCUGAGGUGAAGACGGGUUGCUGGGCCGACACUGACGCUGAGUGCGCGAAAGCCAGGGGAGCAAACGGG
rnacentral:rRNA from 1 species